rnacentral:rRNA from 1 species
GACAGAGGGUGCAAACGUUGCUCGGAAUCACUGGGCGUAAAGGGCGUGUAGGCGGGACGGAAAGUCAGAUGUGAAAGCCCUGGGCUCAACCCAGGAACUGCAUUUGAAACUCCCUUUCUUGAGUGUCGGAGAGGAAAGCGGAAUUCCUGGUGUAGAGGUGAAAUUCGUAGAUAUCAGGAGGAACACCGGUGGCGAAGGCGGCUUUCUGGACGACAACUGACGCUGAGACGCGAAAGCGUGGGGAGCAAACAGG